rnacentral:rRNA from 1 species
AGAUGUGAAAUACUAGGGCUUAACCAUAACACUGCAUUUAAAACUGUUAUUCUAGAGUAUGGGAGAGGUAGGUGGAAUUCUUGGUGUAGGGGUAAAAUCCGUAGAGAUCGAGAGGAAUACUCAUUGCGAAGGCGACCUGCUGGAACAUAACUGACGCUGAUGCGCGAAAGCGUGGGGAGCAAA